UUUAACAAAGGUACAACAUAACUAAGGACAUAUAAUAACUCGAUACAGGGAACUGGUACGUUGUUAUGUUGUUCUUUGUCCUUGAUGCCCUUGAGAGUCACUUGCAAGAUUGAUAGAUGACUUGAGAGAAUGCUUGAUCAAUUCUUGAAUGUGCAAGUGUUUUGUUUUACCUUUUGCUUGAUGUUAAUAAUUCAUUUGUGACAUCACUUGAAUGAUGCAAGCAAGUUAGGUAAAGGGUAGCUAUAAAGUUGACGGUUGCACUAUUUUUGCACUGCUGCGUGUGCAGGCAACAACUUUACAGCUGGGGGAGUUGGCUUGUACAGUCACCACGGGAACUGGUAGCUAUCUGUUCCUUCUGCUGUUCCUUUGACUCUGAAGAGUUGAACUGUGUCUCCAACUGGAGACUUGCUGAUCUUUAAGUUCUUGAGGAUGUGUAUCAUGUUCCUUAUCUGGUUCUUAAUAGUAAGUUUGUUAGAUCAUCAAAAUAUAACAGGGAUACACAUAUAACCUAUCAAUGAUAAUAACCAUUAUUUUCAGAAAUCAAAUUGAAUUCAACGGAAUCCAACUCAACUCAUAUAGAGUUCAGAACAUAGCUACAAGACUAUCCUCAAUUCAAACCCGCAUUUCUUCCAUCUAAUGAGCUUAAUAAUUCAAUACCCAAUAAUAAUUAAAUUAUUAAAAAUCAUGAAGAAUAAUAUUCAACUAUUUCACAAUCCCAAAAUACUAGUUAUGUCCUCCUCUGCACCUGUUUCUUCAAUUUCAAGAAUACCCACUUCAAUAAUUCACUUAAUCCUCAAUUUAAAUGAUAUUUUCAACUCCUAAAUACCUUCAUUAAGCUCUAUGUCCAUCAUAGUUGAAAGAGAAGAUAAGAAAUCACCUCUUGAAGAAACCAUAGAAAUCCUCUUUUUAAAGUUCUUGGGAGGAAUCCUUGAAAUAAAAUUAAAACACCAUUCUUGCUGCUGUUGUUACUUCUUCUUAUUUGCAAAGAAAAAAACUAGUGGGAUUCAAGCUCACCAGCCCCCUUUAGUGUCGCUAGCGUUUUCAAACACAGAAGAAGGCUCUGUUUCGUUCCCCUC
rnacentral:lncRNA from 1 species